GCGGUCUACUUAUAUACCUAAAUUGAAGGAGGUAACAGACUUUUGAUCGUGUCGAAGAAAAAGUGCAUUAUAUAGGGAAAUAGUUCAGAGGAUUGGUGGUAGAAAUAGGUAAAAAUGUUGUCUGGCAGUAAUGAAACUUUUAAUGAAGCGAUGUGACCUAUGCUGGCAUGUUACUGGAAAAGUUGUGUCUAAUUUGGCCAUCAAGUGAAGAAAAGUCAUCACAGUUUGCUGCUCCCUCUGCUGGCUCGGUCCCAAGCUGAAGAUGGAAUUGUCAGAAUCUGAAAAAGACACAUCAGACAUAAAUAAAAUAUUUUUAAUGAACA